UUGGACGAGAGAGAGAGUUUUCAACCAAUCAUUAUUAUAAUAGUUUUUAUUCCAGAUAUCACUGAAAUACUCUUUAUCUGCUGUAGAUUACAACGAUUCUUACAUAUAAUAAUAAUAAUAAUAAUAAUAAUAUUACUAACACACACACACGCGCACACACACACACACACACACACACACACACACACAGACUCACGCACACACACACACACACACACACACACACACACACACACACACACACACAGACUCACGCACACACACACACACACACACACACACACACACACACACACACACACAGACUCACGCGCACACACACACACACACACACACACACACACACACAGACUCACGCACACACACACACACACACACACACACACACACACACACACACAGACUCACGCACACACACACACACACACACACACACACACACACACACACAGACUCACGCGCACACACACACACACACACACACACACACACACACACAGACACACACACACACACGCACACACAAACAGACAGACACGCACACACAGACAGACAUAUACACACACAGACUCACGCACACACACACACACACACACAGACACACACACACAGACACACACACACACGCACACACACACACACACACACACACACACACAGAGACACAGACACAGACACACACACACACACACACACACACAGACUCACGCACACACACACACACACACACAGACACACACACACAGACACACACACACACACACACACACACACACACACACACAGAGACACAGACACAGACACACACACACACACACACCCACACACAGACAGACAUAUACACACACAGACUCACGCACACACACACACACACACACACACACACACACACACACACACACACACACACACACACACACAGACACAGACACGCACACACAGGCAGACACACACACACACACACAGACACACAAACACACAUUAACACACACAAAGACUCACACACACACACACACACACACAGACAGACACACACACACACACACACACACACACACACAUAGACAGACACACACAGACACAGACUCAUACACACACAGACACACACACACACACGCACACACAGACAGACACACACACACACACACACACACACACACACAUAGACAGACAGACACAGACUCACAUACACACACAGACACACACACACACACACACAGACACACACAGACACACACAGACACACGCACACUCACAGCGUAA
rnacentral:lncRNA from 1 species